rnacentral:rRNA from 1 species
UACAGAGGUGGCAAGCGUUGUUCGGAAUUACUGGGCGUAAAGGGCGCGUAGGUGGCCUUCUUAGUCAGACGUGAAAUCCCUGGGCUUAACUCAGGAACUGCGUCUGAUACUGGAAGGCUCGAGUUCGGGAGAGGAAUGUGGAAUUCCAGGUGUAGCGGUGAAAUGCGUAGAUAUCUGGAGGAACACCGGUGGCGAAGGCGGCAUUCUGGACCGAAACUGACACUGAGGCGCGAAAGCCAGGGAGCAAACGGGAUAGAAACCCUGUA